GAGUUUGAUCCUGGCUCAGGAUGAACGCUGGCGGCGUGCCUAACACAUGCAAGUCGAACGGAGUUACGAUGAAACCUAGUGAUUCGUAACUUAGUGGCGGACGGGUGAGUAACGCGUGGAUAACCUGCCUUACACUGGGGGAUAACACUUAGAAAUAGGUGCUAAUACCGCAUAAGCGCACAGAGCCGCAUGGCUCAGUGUGAAAAACUCCGGUGGUGUAAGAUGGAUCCGCGUCUGAUUAGCUGGUUGGCGGGGUAGAAGCCCACCAAGGCGACGAUCAGUAGCCGGCCUGAGAGGGUGAACGGCCACAUUGGGACUGAGACACGGCCCAAACUCCUACGGGAGGCAGCAGUGGGGAAUAUUGCACAAUGGGGGAAACCCUGAUGCAGCAACGCCGCGUGAGUGAAGAAGUCAUUCGUGAUGUAAAGCUCUAUCAGCAGGGAAGAAAAUGACGGUACCUGAGUAAGAAGCCCCGGCUAACUACGUGCCAGCAGCCGCGGUAAUACGUAGGGGGCAAGCGUUAUCCGGAUUUACUGGGUGUAAAGGGAGCGUAGACGGCCAGACAAGUCUGAAGUGAAAAUCCAGCGCUUAACGUUGGAAGUGCUUUGGAAACUGCCGGGCUAGAGUGCAGGAGGGGCAGGCGGAAUUCCUAGUGUAGCGGUGAAAUGCGUAGAUAUUAGGAGGAACACCAGUGGCGAAGGCGGCCUGCUGGACUGCAACUGACGUUGAGGCUCGAAGGCGUGGGGAGCAAACAGGAUUAGAUACCCUGGUAGUCCACGCGGUAAACGAUGAUUACUAGGUGUCGGGGGGCUAGAGCCCUUCGGUGCCGUCGCAAACGCAAUAAGUAAUCCACCUGGGGAGUACGUUCGCAAGAAUGAAACUCAAAGGAAUUGACGG
rnacentral:rRNA from 1 species